rnacentral:misc_RNA from 1 species
AACGCACCUUGCGCCCUCUGGUAUUCCGGAGGGCAUGCCUGUUUGAGUGUCAUUAAAUUCUCAACUUCAAUAGUUUUUACAAACUUGUUGAAGCUUGGAUAUUGGAGGUUAUUCCUGCUGGUAUUCAUUAUCGGCUCCUCUUAAAUGCAUUAGUGAAGUCCUGUUGUUUGGGCCAACCUUGGUGUGAUAAUUAUCUACGCUUUGGUUCAAAGGCUCUGAACUAACGCUUGAGUGAGUGAUUGCACUUGUGCUCCACUUGUUUGAUUCUAUUCAUAGGAUCUAGCGUUGAGUAGUUGCAUUAGUUUGCUCUACUUGGUUGUCAAGGAUAGCUGGCAUUAAUUUGCUCUAUCUGGAUAACAAAAGGGAAUUUUGCUCUCUAACAGUCUUUUGAUUAAGACAAUUAUUGACUAUUUGACCUCAAAUCAGGUAGGACUACCCGCUGAACUUAA